AAACACAGGUAGAGUCUUACAAUUUCUACCCGCCCGGGUACUACGAGCAUCAGCUUAAAACCCAAAGGACUUGGCGGUGCUUUAGAUCCACCUAGAGGAGCCUGUCCUAGAACCGAUAACCCCCGUUCAACCUCACCUUCUUUUGUUAAUUCCGCCUAUAUACCACCGUCGUCAGCUUACCCCCUGAGGGAAUGAUAGUAAGCAAAAUUGGUAAAGCCUCAAACGUCAGGUCGAGGUGUAGCGUAUAAGUAGGGAAGAAAUGGGCUACAUUCGCUAUUAUAGCGAACACGAAUGAUGUUCUGAAACGCACAUCUGAAGGAGGAUUUAGCAGUAAGUGAAAAGUAGAGAGUUUC
rnacentral:rRNA from 1 species